ensembl:lncRNA
UGUCCUCCUCAAGUUCCGCCAAGGCACCUUCGCUGCUCUAGGAGACGUCAGAAAGAUGUACAAUUCUGUGUGGCUUGAGGAGAGGGAAGUCCAUCUACACCGGUUCUUGUGGCGUGAUUUAGAGGGCGAUGAGCUAGAAAAAUACGCCAUAACCAGAGUGAAUAUCGGGGACAAGCCAGCAGGAUGCAUAGCACAACUUGCCAUGAGGGAGACGGCUAACCUGCCUCAAUUCAGCCACCUCACAGAUGAAUGCCAAGUAUUACAUGAGCACAGCUACGUCGACGACAUCUUGACAUCCCACAACUGCCGUGAAAGACUCGAAGUCAUUACAAAGAAUGUGGAGCUGAUUCUAAAAGCAGGAGGGUUUGCAUUGAAGCCUUGGGUCUUCUCAGGCCAAAGUAAAGGAGAAAGAGAAAAGGCAUCACCAAAUAUUGUUGUCCUACCAAACCGGCUUAAGGAGGAAGACAACAAGGCGCUCGGUCUCGGCUACACUGUGGAUGAAGACAUGUUGCAUGUCAUGGUGAGGGUCAACUUCUCCAGGUGGAAGAAAAAGAUGAGACUUGGGCAAGACUUGCUGCUAGAAGAAGUACGAGCACAGACACCAGACCCGCUGACAAGACGUGAACUGCUGAGUCAAGUUGCUGGUUUGUACGACCCAGUUGGCCUGACAACGCCAGCAAAGCAAAAAGGGGCUAUCUUGGUCCGAAGGGCAUUCCAAGAGGCAAAACCAAAGUGCAGCAUAGUUAAGGACACAUGGGACCUUCCCCUUUCGAGGCGCUCCGCAAAGAUGCAAUUGGAAUUUUUGAGGAGUACGUCCAGCUAAGCAAAGUAAUGUUCCCAAGAGCCCUUACUCCACCAAAGGCAACAACUGAACCAGUCGCUGUCACUUUUUCAGAUGGCAGUGAAAGCUCCUAUGGUGCUGUCCUCUACCUGCGGUGGAACUGCAACAAACAAUUAACAAUUCGACUAGUGGAGUCCAAAUCAAAGCUGACACCUCUAGACCAGAAGGGGGAUGCGGUCAAAGCAGAACUUUGCGGUGCAGUCUUUGCAAGCCGCCUGAAAAA